rnacentral:rRNA from 1 species
UACGGAGGGUGCAAGCGUUAUCCGGAAUCACUGGGUUUAAAGGGUGCGUAGGCGGCUAAAUAAGUCAGAGGUGAAAGUUUGUCGCUUAACGAUAGAACUGCCUUUGAUACUGUUAAGCUUGAAAGUAGGUGAGGUUGGCGGAAUGUGACAUGUAGCGGUGAAAUGCAUAGAUAUGUCAUAGAACACCGAUUGCGAAGGCAGCCGGCGAACCUGACUCUGACGCUGAGGCACGAAAGCGUGGGUAGCGAACAGG